rnacentral:snoRNA from 1 species
GGUCUGCAGCCUUGAAAUCGCCCUUUGUUGCAUCCGUACUCCGGGCGCGUUGGCUUUGCAGAGAAAGUAUCUGACAGAGGAAGCCGAGGCAGGAGUGUAAGGAGCACAACAGCUCCAUGUGCAAUGUUCCUCUGACACGUCUAAUACUGUUGCCACGGAGAUGAUGACCAUUUCAGUGUCAUUAUCCAUCCAUCAACAGUAAGAAUAAAUUUGCUGUCCGAUAUUGUUCAGCAAGUGGAGCAUUUUUGUUGAACACGAAACACAGCUACAUAU